rnacentral:rRNA from 1 species
CCUACGGGUGGCAGCAGUGGGGAAUAUUGGACAAUGGGCGGAACUCUGAUCCAGCGACGCCGCGUGAGUGAAGAAGUAUUUCGGUAUGUAAAGCUCUAUCAGCAGGGAAGAAAAUGACGGUACCUGACUAAGAAGCCCCGGCUAACUACGUGCCAGCAGCCGCGGUAAUACGUAGGGGGCAAGCGUUAUCCGGAUUUACUGGGUGUAAAGGGAGCGUAGACGGUGCAGCAAGUCUGAUGUGAAAGGUCGGGGCCCAACCCCGGGACUGCAUUGGAAACUGUUGAACUGGAGUGCAGGAGAGGUAAGCGGAAUUCCUAGUGUAGCGGUGAAAUGCGUAGAUAUUAGGAGGAACACCAGUGGCGAAGGCGGCUUACUGGACUGUAACUGACGUUGAGGCUCGAAAGCGUGGGGAGCAAACAGGAUUAGAUACCCGAGUAGUC